GACGAACGCUGGCGGCGUGCCUAAUACAUGCAAGUCGUGCGGACCUUGUUGAAAGCUUGCUUUUAAAAGGUUAGCGGCGGACGGGUGAGUAACACGUGGGCAACCUGCCUGUAAGACUGGGAUAACGCCGGGAAACCGGGGCUAAUACCAGAUCGUUUUUUCCUCCGCAUGGAGGAAAAAGGAAAGGCGGCAUCGGCUGCCACUUACAGAUGGGCCCGCGGCGCAUUAGCUAGUUGGCGGGGUAAUGGCCCACCAAGGCAACGAUGCGUAGCCGACCUGAGAGGGUGAUCGGCCACAUUGGGACUGAGACACGGCCCAAACUCCUACGGGAGGCAGCAGUAGGGAAUCUUCCGCAAUGGACGAAAGUCUGACGGAGCAACGCCGCGUGAGUGAAGAAGGCCUUCGGGUCGUAAAACUCUGUUGCCGGGGAAGAACAAGUGCCGUUCGAACAGGGCGGCGCCUUGACGGUACCCGGCCAGAAAGCCACGGCUAACUACGUG
rnacentral:rRNA from 1 species